rnacentral:rRNA from 1 species
GCACAAGCGGUGGAGCAUGUGGUUUAAUUCGAUGCAACGCGAAGAACCUUACCUGGUCUUGACAUCCACGGAAGUUUUCAGAGAUGAGAAUGUGCCUUCGGGAACCGUGAGACAGGUGCUGCAUGGCUGUCGUCAGCUCGUGUUGUGAAAUGUUGGGUUAAGUCCCGCAACGAGCGCAACCCUUAUCCUUUGUUGCCAGCGGUCCGGCCGGGAACUCAAAGGAGACUGCCAGUGAUAAACUGGAGGAAGGUGGGGAUGACGUCAAGUCAUCAUGGCCCUUACGACCAGGGCUACACACGUGCUACAAUGGCGCAUACAAAGAGAAGCGACCUCGCGAGAGCAAGCGGACCUCAUAAAGUGCGUCGUAGUCCGGAUUGGAGUCUGCAACUCGACUCCAUGAAGUCGGAAUCGCUAGUAAUCGUGGAUCAGAAUGCCACGGUGAAUACGUUCCCGGGC